rnacentral:lncRNA from 1 species
GUUGAUACUACUAAAAACACCGGGACGUCUAAGUGAGGAGAAAGCGGUCGCUUAUAAGGAAAAUAUUGAAUUGUAUAUUGUAAAACUCCACCUAGUACGUCCUAGACGGCAUGGAAGACGAAACUAAAAAAAAUAAAAAUACAGUAAAAUUACUUUGUCUUUUUAAAGCAAAUAAACAAAAGCUUAAAAUUGGACUGUACCGUAAACUGGGCCUUUAGAAAGAAUAAAGCCGGGAGCGGCCUUCAUCUUAAACUUAUGCAAACGUCCAGUCCAGGCCUUGCGUUCUAGUGAAACCUGCUUAGCUUAAAUCACACGAAUCCCGCUUGUUUCUUGAUCGUACUUCUGUUCGUACUUUUGCAUUUGGGAGCUUCUGCCACAGACCUGCACAUUAAAGAGUGCUACCUUUUUGUUUUAAAAGGAGCGGCCAGUACCGUCGCUCAAUGCUUCUGAUUCAGUGGAAAUGGAUUUGGAGAGGCCUUCUACCUCCCCUUCCCCCUCCCCUUCCCCCCUUUUAAACUCCUGGAUCCUGUAACUUUAACUCACUCCUUUGUCAGACGGGACUCACCUGGAGUUUUCACUUGCUAAGUAACGAGGAAGUUUCCCGCAGCAGACUCUACUCUACGCCUUGGUUUUUGUGCUAGAACGGCGAAUACCCAGGACUUUCCCAAAUUCUUUGUGCCUUUUUGAGAAAGAGGUUUGUCUCGCCUUCGUGGAACGAUCUAUCUGCAUAAAAUGUUAAAGCUGGCAAGUAGCGUGAAGAUUUUGCCUGGGUUCCGGAGACAGAUGAGAGAGCCGAGGGGAAAAACCAAGACCAUUUCGCCGCUACGUUCUUUUGUCUUUUGAAGUGGGGGGUGGGUCGGGGGGCGAGAAACGGAAGAACUACCUGCAGUGGAGACAAAAUGAACCGAAGCAACCCGACGCCUUAGCUGUCUGGCUAACUUCAGCCCUUUCCGACCUGCAAGAUGUUGUGAGUGAUAAUACGCAAGGAAACUGUGGCAUUUUUCCCUUAAGAAGUUAAUUUUAUAAGCUGCUUCGAUGGUGGAUCAACAAUCCCUUUGAAGGUAAAUGAUCCUUGACUAACAUUUAGCAGAUAUUGUGCUUCGCAGAUGUUUGAUUGGCAAUACA